rnacentral:rRNA from 1 species
GGCCUAUCAGCUUGUUGGUGGGGUGAUGGCCUACCAAGGCGACGACGGGUAGCCGGCCUGAGAGGGUGUCCGGCCACACUGGGACUGAGAUACGGCCCAGACUCCUACGGGAGGCAGCAGUGGGGAAUAUUGCACAAUGGGCGCAAGCCUGAUGCAGCGACGCCGCGUGGGGGAUGACGGCCUUCGGGUUGUAAACCUCUUUCAGUAGGGACGAAGCGCAAGUGACGGUACCUACAGAAGAAGCACCGGCCAACUACGUGCCAGCAGCCGCGGUAAUACGUAGGGUGCGAGCGUUGUCCGGAAUUACUGGGCGUAAAGAGCUCGUAGGUGGUUUGUCGCGUUGUUCGUGAAAACCGGGGGCUUAACCCUCGGCGUGCGGGCGAUACGGGCAGACUAGAGUACUGCAGGGGAGACUGGAAUUCCUGGUGUAGCGGUGGAAUGCGCAGAUAUCAGGAGGAACACCGGUGGCGAAGGCGGGUCUCUGGGCAGUAACUGACGCUGAGGAGCGAAAGCGUGGGGAGCGAACAGGAUUAGAUACCCUGGUAGUCCACGCCGUAAACGGUGGGUACUAGGUGUGGGUUUCCUUCCUUGGGAUCCGUGCCGUAGCUAACGCAUUAAGUACCCCGCCUGGGGAGUACGGCCGCAAGGCUAAAACUCAAAGGAAUUGACGGGGGCCCGCACAAGCGGCGGAGCAUGUGGAUUAAUUCGAUGCAACGCGAAGAACCUUACCUGGGUUUGACAUGCACAGGACGCCAGUAGAGAUAUUGGUUCCCUUGUGGCCUGUGUGCAGGUGGUGCAUGGCUGUCGUCAGCUCGUGUCGUGAGAUGUUGGGUUAAGUCCCGCAACGAGCGCAACCCUUGUCUCAUGUUGCCAGCACGUUAUGGUGGGGACUCGUGAGAGACUGCCGGGGUCAACUCGGAGGAAGGUGGGGAUGACGUCAAGUCAUCAUGCCCCUUAUGUCCAGGGCUUCACACAUGCUACAAUGGCCGGUACAAAGGGCUGCGAUGCCGUGAGGUGGAGCGA